CGGCGGGUGUUGGAAUGGGCGCAGCCUGAUCCAGCCUGCCGCGAGUGUGAAGAAGGCCUUCGGGUUGUAAAGCACUUUUAUCAGGAACGAAAUACUGCGGGUUAAUACCCUGCGGGGCUGACGGUACCUGAGGAAUAACCACCGGAAAACUUCGUGCCAGCAGCCGCGGUAAU
rnacentral:rRNA from 1 species